rnacentral:piRNA from 1 species
UAGUUUUUAUCCGGACAACCU